UAUUGGACAACGGGGGAAACCCUGAUCCAGCAAUGCCGCGUGUGUGAAGAAGGCCUGAGGGUUGUAAAGCACUUUAGGUGGGGAGGAUGGUAGAGCAGGUUAAGAGCUAGUUUUAUUGACGUUACCCGCAGAAUAAGCACCGGCUAACUCCGUGCCAGCAGCCGCGGUAAUACGGAGGGUGCAAGCGUUAAUCGGAAUUACUGGGCGUAAAGAGUGCGUAGGCGGUUGAGUAAGUUAUCUGUGAAAUCCCUGGGCUUAACCUAGGUGGGAAAGAUAAAACUGCUUGACUAGAGUGUGGUAGAGGAUAGUGGAAUUUCCGGUGUAGCGGUGAAAUGCGUAGAGAUCGGAAGGAACACCAGGGCGAAGGCGGCUAUCUGACCGACACUGACGCUGAGGCACGAAA
rnacentral:rRNA from 1 species